rfam:Triticum aestivum genome assembly, contig: Triticum_aestivum_CS42_TGACv1_scaffold_210432_3AS
AUUAUACUCCCUCCGUCCCAAAAUUCUUGUCUUAGAUUUGUCUAAAUACGGAUGUAUCAAGUCACAUUUUAGUAUUAGGUACAUCCGUAUCUAGACAAAUUUAAGACAAGAAUUUUGGGACGGAGGGAGUAUUUG